CGAGACAGAACUAUUUUGGGAAGGAAGCUGUUUAAUAUGAUUCGUUGGGUUAUAUGUGUUAUUGGUAUUGCUGUGGAUAAUUUGGGUUGUUGUCGGAUUGGGACGAAGUAAGGAAAAUAGGGGAGGUGCUGCCGAAUUUUCGUUAGAUUAUUAGCUAGCUUACAAGAAAGUAAAGCACGAUGUUUAUCUAAUUGCGGCACGAUUGUUGCUUGUUAUAGAUUAAUAGCUUGAGCAGUAAAUAUUGGACGUGCGGCUCAAUUAUACGGUAUGUAACGCUGUCCCUUCUUUCUUUGUUUGGCAUGACUUUUAAAAAUAAGCGAAUAACGGACAGGUUUGAUACUUACCUCUAGAGCGUCUAGGUGACGUAUAUUCUUGCUUCCACAAUUAUUCCUCUAUAUAUCGGCUAUGUCUAAGGCUAUGAUGAUCUCUCAUAUCUAUGGUAGUGCUUCUUAGAGUCAUUGAGAUUUUACGUUUCCAUAUCGUAUUGAAGGUUCAUAACCUUGAUAAAACAUUAAUCUUUGGUAAUACUCCUUGCUGGUUCACGUUGAUUGUUCUAUUGAGUUAUAAGAAAUGAUUUUAAUUGCAUAUGGUUGCUCAUAAUAUUCUGUCGUGCAUAGAGUCAUUUAUCAUUUCACCGAGUCCCGGGCCGGGUAAUAUUCGUGCGGAGUUUCUUGCAUAUGUCACCGAGUUCCUCACUAGAGGGCCGGGUAUGUAUAUUAUAUAUAUGAUUGGUGAUGAGGAUGGUUAUGAUGAUGAUGAUGACGGAGAUGACGUGAUGAUUAUUUUGCCGAGCCCCUUACUAGGGAAGCUGGGCACCUUAAAUGUUAAAUAUAUGCAUGAUUUUCACUUAAAAGGGUAUAUGUGUAGAGAUAUUUUGUUUCGACUUGCCAUAUUGGUAUCCUGUCAUCUUUACCUUAUGCUUUACAUACUCAGUACAUUGUCCGUACUGACCCCCCUUUCCUCGGGGGGCUGCGUUUCAUGCCCGCAGGUGUAGACGCACAGUUCGGUGAUCCUCCCGCCUAGGAUAUCUACUUUGCCGAUUGGGAGAGCUCCACUGUUUCGGAGCCCAGUCGUUUUGGUACACAACUUUUUGUGUAGUCUUUUACUCGUCUAUGGGUAUGGCGGGGCCCUGUCCCGUCGAGUUUCAUUACUGUACUCUUAGAGGUAUGUGGACAUUAUGUGGGUUGUAUAUAUAUGUUUUGGAUAAUGGUCUGGACAUGGUUUGUUUGGGAUGUCCGCUUGUACAGGGGCAGCCUUGUCGGCUGCGUACAUCAUUAUGCUUUGAAUAGUGGCGGCCUUGUCGGCUCGCGUAUGCUGUUAUGGUUGAAUGGUUAUGACUCCUUAUGAGAUAGGUCCUCUUAUAUAUAUAUAUAUAUGACGUUGGGGUUGGCUUGAUUUGAUUAAAUUCCAUAUUGUCUUAGUUUCAGUUGGUCAUACUUAGCAGGUUUGUAUGUUGGUGUCCAAAACGGGCACUAAUCACGGCCUAUCGGGUUGGGUCGUGACAAAGAGUGGUAUCAGAGCGGUUCUUCCUCGGAAGUGUCUACAGACCGUGUCUAGUAGAGUCUUGUUUAUCGGUGUGUUGUGCACCACAUCUAUAAACAGGAAGCUACAGGACAUUUAGGAUGUCAUUCUUUCUUCUUAUUCUAGAUCGUGCGAUAGAGCUAUAUUAACAGGAUAAUCCUUCUCUAACGAAUCCGUGUGUUUUCAGCUAUGCCUCCAAAGAAAGCGACAGCCGCCCAGAAGGGAAAAUCGGUAGCAGAAGGUACUAGUCAGACCCGGAGAGUUACUAGGGCCGUGCCCAGUCUAUGCCUGGUAUUAUGCUCCAGUCGGAGAGCUCUGCUACACCCCACCGCCAGAAGAGCUUAGAGCAGCAGCAGCUCCAGUUCGGGGGACACCACCAGCCCCCGAGGCCCCAACAUCUGAACCUCCAGCUCCUCAGUCAGGGGCGGAGGAUAGGGCCAUGAGAGAUGCGGUUCAAUUGCUGACUAGAUUAGUGGCAGAUCAGGCUCGCAGGCAUGGACUAGGAGUUGAUCAUGCGGACAGAUCUGAUAGCUUAAGGGCUCGUGACUUCUUAAGUUGUAAUCCUCCAGAGUUCUUUGGGUCAAGACCCCAGGAUGAUCCGCAAGAGUUUAUUCGUCAGAUGCAGCAUACAUUGAGGAUAAUCAAGGCUUUAGAGACUGAGUCUGUUGAGUUGGCUACGUACCGUUUGCGGGAUGUAGCUAUUAAUUGGUAUGAGUCUUGGGAGUUAUCUAGGGGUGAGGGUGCUCCUCCAGCGGUAUGGGAUGAAUUUGUGGAGGCUUUCCAGGGCCAUUUCCUGCCUCCAGAUAUGAAGCGAGCUAGAGUCGAUAAAUUCUUGCGUUUGAAGCAAAAUGGCAGGAGCGUUCGAGAGUAUAGCCUCGAGUUUGAUUCAUUGGCUAGGCAUGCGCCUACUAUUGUGGCUGAUAUGGCAGACAGGGUACAUCGUUAUGUGAUGGGAUUGGAUCGUUAUCUGAUUGACGGUUGUAUGGCAGUGACUCUUCAGCCAGGUAUGGACAUUGCUCGGGUGCAGGCAUAUGCACAGGGGGUAGAGGAUCGACACCGGGGACGUCAGCCAGAUAGAGAUUAUAAUAGAGGCCAGCAUAAGAGGGCUAGAUCAGCAGGUUAUCCUGACGAGUUUCAAAGCGGGCAGUCUCAGCAUAAUGUUAGAUUUUCUUCCCAGCCAGCACAGAGUGCACCCCCACGUUUCAUGGGUAGGGGGUUCGAUCGUAUGGGAUAUUCGGAACCUGGUCAGAGCUCUAGGGCGUCAGGGUCACAGAUGGGCAGGGGUUUGAGCCAGUCGAGGCCACCUUUGCCUCGGUGUUCUCGUUGUGGUAAGUCCCAUCCUGGGGAAUGUCGUUGGGCUACAGGUGCGUGUUUUUCUUGUGGCCGUCAGGGCCAUACUAUGAGGGAGUGUCACCUUAGAGGUAGUGCAGGUGGUAUGGCACAGCCUACAGGGUCCGUUGCUGGUUCAUCUUCUUCUGUGGCUAUGCGCCCUACGGGGCAGGGUAUUCAGGCACCAGCAGGCCGUGGUAGAGGACGUGGUGGAGCUUCUAGUUCUAGCGGUCCCUCAAACCGUAUAUAUGCUUUGACUAAUAGGCAAGAUCAAGAGGCGUCACCUAAUGUGAUCACAGGUAUAUUAUCACUAUUCUCCCGAAGUGUGUAUGCAUUGAUAGACCCAGGUUCCACCUUAUCAUAUAUAUCUCCCUUUGUUGCUAGUAGGAUCGGAAUAGAGUCUGAGUUGAUAGAACCAUUUGAGGUAGCUACACCUGUAGGAGAUUUUGUCAUUGCUACGCGAGUAUAUAGGAAUUGUUCAGUAGCUAUAUAUAGUCGUCAUACCGUAGCAGAUCUAAUAGAGUUAAAUAUGAUUGAGUUUGAUAUUAUCAUGGGCAUGGAUUGGUUGGCUGCUUGUUAUGCUAAUGUUGAUUGCAGAGAAAAGAUAGUUCGAUUUCAAUUUCCAGGGGAACCGAUUAUAGAGUGGAAGGGAAGUACAGUAUCGCCGAAAGGUAAGUUCAUUUCAUACCUCAAGGCUGGGAAGAUGGUUAGAAAAGGCUAUAUUUACCAUCUGAUUCGGGUGUAUGACAUAAAGGCAGAGGCAUCGACUCUUCAAUCAGUCCCGGUAGUUAAUGAAUUUCCUGAUGUAUUUCCCGAGGAACUUCCAGGCCUUCCUCCAGAACGGGAGAUAGAGUUUACUAUAGAUGUACUGCCAGAUACCCAGCUUAUAUCUAUACCUCCUUAUAGAAUGGCACCUGCUGAGUUGAAAGAAUUGAAAGAGCAAUUGAGGGAUUUUCUAGAAAAGGGCUUCAUCAGGCCUAGUAUGUCACCUUGGGGAGCACCAGUACUGUUUGUGAGGAAGAAGGAUGGGUCGCUGCGGAUGUGCAUUGAUUAUAGGCAGUUGAACAAAGUAACAAUAAAGAACAGGUAUCCCCUCCCAAGGAUUGACGAUCUAUUUGACCAGUUGCAGGGUGCAAAGUGUUUUUCAAAGAUAGACUUGCGGUCAGGUUAUCAUCAGGUGCGGGUAAAGGAGGCAGAUAUUCCAAAGACAGCAUUCCGGACCCGAUAUGGGCAUUAUGAGUUUAGAGUGCUGUCUUUUGGGCUGACUAAUGCUCCAGUGGUGUUCAUGGAUUUAAUGAAUCGAGUAUUUAAACCAUUCCUUGAUAUGUUUGUUAUUGUAUUUAUAGACGAUAUUCUGGUCUAUUCACGUUCAGAAAAGGAGCAUGCAGAUCAUUUAAGGACGGUACUUAGGGUGCUUCAGCACCAGAAGUUGUAUGCUAAAUUUUCUAAAUGCGAGUUCUGGUUGACUUCAGUGGCAUUCUUGGGGCAUAUUAUUGGAGCUGAUGGUAUUCGGGUAGAUACGCAGAAGAUUGAGGCAGUAAAGACUUGGCCCAGACCUACGACACCUACUGAGGUACGCAACUUUUUGGGGUUAGCAGGAUAUUACAGGAGAUUCGUAGAAAAGUUUGCCUCAAUUUCAGUGCCUUUGACAAGGCUAACUCAAAAGGCAGCCAAGUUCCAGUGGACAGAUGCUUGUGAGCGAAGCUUCCAGCUAUUGAAAGACAAAUUGACUACAGCUCCAGUCCUAACUCUUCCAGAGGGACCAGACGGCUAUGUUAUUUAUUGUGAUGCUUCGGGUGUUGGGCUAGGAUGUGUAUUGAUGCAGCAUGGCAAAGUUAUAGCCUAUGCCUCCCGACAACUUAGGAAGCAUGAAAAGAACUAUCCUACUCACGAUCUGGAGUUAGCGGUCGUGGUUCAUGCCUUGAAGAUAUGGAGACAUUAUUUAUAUGGUGUCCAUGUGGACAUCUAUACAGAUCAUAAGAGUCUCCAAUAUAUCUUUAAACAGAAGGAGCUGAACUUACGACAGAGGCGGUGGUUAGAGUUGCUAAAGGAUUAUGAUGUUGAUAUUUUAUAUCAUCCAGGGAAAGCAAAUGUUGUAGCAGAUGCUCUUAGCCGUAAGUCCAUGGGUAGCUUGACAGAUGUACAACCAGAAGGGAGGGAUAUGGUUCGGGAGAUUCAGCGGCUAUCAAGCCUUGGAGUCCGUCUAGCUAAUUCGGAAGAUAGUGGAGUUUCUAUUCGAGAAAUUGCUGAGUCCUCAAUCAUAGAUGAGGUAAAGAGACACCAAUACAAGGACCCUAUUCUGGCACAGUAUAGAGAUGCAGCUCUUCAAAAGGAAAAGACCCCAUUUAAGGUUACACCUGAUGGAGAGUUACGAUAUGAAGGCAGAUUGUGUGUACCCGAUACUGCGGGGCUACGACGGCAAGUUAUGGGAGAGGCACACUCUGCCCGUUAUUCUAUUCACCCAGGGUCAACAAAAAUGUAUCAUGACCUCAGAUGCUUAUAUUGGUGGGAUGGCAUGAAAAAGGACAUAGCAGAGUUUGUUGCUCAGUGCCCAAAUUGUCAACAAGUCAAGAUCGAACAUCAAAAGCCUGGUGGAUUAUUACAGGAGAUAGAGAUCCCAACUUGGAAAUGGGAGAUGAUUAAUAUGGACUUCAUUACAGGCUUACCUCGCACUCAACGGAAGUAUGACUCUAUAUGGGUUAUUGUAGAUAGGCUGACGAAAUCGGCCCAUUUUCUUCCAGUCAGGACUACUUAUUCGGCUGAAGAUUAUGCGAGGUUAUAUGUCAGGGAGAUAGUGAGACUUCAUGGGGUUCCCACGUCCAUUACAUCAGACAGAGGAGCUCAAUUUACAGCCAACUUUUGGAGAUCGUUUCAGAAGGGAUUGGGGACACAGGUGAACCUUAGCACUGCAUUUCACCCUCAGACUGAUGGGCAGGCUGAGCGUACUAUUCAGACACUAGAAGAUAUGUUGCGGGCCUGUAUUAUUGACUUCAAAGGCAGCUGGGAUGACCACUUGCCGCUCAUUGAGUUUGCCUAUAAUAAUAGCUACCAUUCUAGUAUCCAGAUGGCACCGUACGAGGCCUUAUAUGGGAGGAAGUGCAGAUCACCUAUUGGUUGGUUUGAUGUUGGCGAGACUAAGUUAAUAGGCCCGGAUGUGAUUCAGCAAGCUUUUGACAAGGUGAAGCUUAUUCAAGAAAGAUUAUUAGCAGCCCAGAGUCGACAGAAGUCAUAUGCAGAUAAUCGGCGUCGAGAUUUAGAGUUUCAGAUUGGUGACUGGGUAUUCCUGAAGGUAUCACCCAUGAGGGGUGUGAUGAGAUUCGGCAGGAAGGGGAAGCUCAGUCCGAGAUACAUUGGGCCUUAUCAGAUUGUUCGUAGGAUAGGCAAGGUUGCCUAUGAGUUGGAUCUACCAUCUGAUUUGGAGGCGGUACAUCCAGUCUUCCAUGUAUCGAUGCUACGUAAAUGUAUUGGUGAUCCUUCUAGAGUAUUCCCUGUAGAUGAUAUUCAGGUAACAGAGGAGUUGUCAUAUGAGGAGAAACCCGUGGCUAUACUUGAUCGUCAGGUUAGAAGGUUACGUACUAAGGAUGUGGCUUCCGUCAAAGUGUUGUGGCAAAAUAACUAUAGGGAGGAGAUGACUUGGGAAGCGGAAGACGAAAUGAAGAAUAAGUAUCCUUACUUGUUCCCCGUACCUGCAGGUAAUUCAAUUCCUAGCUUGACUAUAUUGAUAGAUAAUGAGAUUAUGUAGCUGUGAGGCAUCUGUAAGUUACGGAAUGCAGGUUGAUAGGUAUAACUUUUAGAGAGACCUCGUUGGAAUUUGUUUUUGCAAGACGCUAACUUAACAUUCGAGGAUGAAUGUUCCUAAGGGGGAAGGAUGUUAUGCCUCGUAUUUUUUUUUAUACGUAGUGCGCAUCGUGAUCUAGAAGACGUAAAGAAAUAUUAGGCAAGAAUGUUAUUUCCAAAUGUGAUAUUAAGUAUGAGUUGGUUAAUGUAAGUGUCAUUAACUUUAAGUGAGGGAUUAAUUAGUGGCUAAUUUGGAUUGAUUUAAUCCAAUGGGCCCCACCACUCAAGGCAAAAAUUAAAAAGGGAUCAGAUUGUGGGCUGGCCUUAGUGGACAGGUGUAGAGGGGGGCUGCCUCCACUUCAUACUAUUAAAUGAGGUGGAGAAAUCCACUCCAUGCUAUAUAAAGUGGUGAAAUGCAUUGCUGCAUAUCAUCUUCUUCUUCACCACUUGUCUUAGGCAGCCAUGGAAAUGGAGAAACCAACCCUGCAACUCUUGGCCAGCAGCUGCAAAUAAUUUGGUUAGUAAUCUCCUUGUUUGGUGUGUUAAUUCUUUAGAAUACCUUUGUUAAUUACCCAUUAAUUUUAAGAAGGGGGCGUGACCAGUAGCUUAGGAAGUUUGUUUUAGUUAUUGAAUGUGCUAAGUAUGAACGGAAACCAUAAUCGGAUUAUUAGUGGUGUCGUGUUGGUGCUUGGGCUGUUUUGAUUAAAGCAAACUAUGGGAAAAUUCUGUUUUGGCAUUAUGUAUAUGUUAAAUGUGAUUAUGAGUAUAUAAUCCAAAGGAUGAAUACAAUAAGGUAGAUGUGUUGCGAAUUGUAAAACGAAUUAUCGCUCGGUGUGUCGUUGCUUCGCUGCUAUGGUUGCCGAGACAGAACUAUUUUGGGAAGGAAGCUGUUUAAUAUGAUUCGUUGGGUUAUAUGUGUUAUUGGUAUUGCUGUGGAUAAUUUGGGUUGUUGUCGGAUUGGGACGAAGUAAGGAAAAUAGGGGAGGUGCUGCCGAAUUUUCGUUAGAUUAUUAGCUAGCUUACAAGAAAGUAAAGCACGAUGUUUAUCUAAUUGCGGCACGAUUGUUGCUUGUUAUAGAUUAAUAGCUUGAGCAGUAAAUAUUGGACGUGCGGCUCAAUUAUACGGUAUGUAACGCUGUCCCUUCUUUCUUUGUUUGGCAUGACUUUUAAAAAUAAGCGAAUAACGGACAGGUUUGAUACUUACCUCUAGAGCGUCUAGGUGACGUAUAUUCUUGCUUCCACAAUUAUUCCUCUAUAUAUCGGCUAUGUCUAAGGCUAUGAUGAUCUCUCAUAUCUAUGGUAGUGCUUCUUAGAGUCAUUGAGAUUUUACGUUUCCAUAUCGUAUUGAAGGUUCAUAACCUUGAUAAAACAUUAAUCUUUGGUAAUACUCCUUGCUGGUUCACGUUGAUUGUUCUAUUGAGUUAUAAGAAAUGAUUUUAAUUGCAUAUGGUUGCUCAUAAUAUUCUGUCGUGCAUAGAGUCAUUUAUCAUUUCACCGAGUCCCGGGCCGGGUAAUAUUCGUGCGGAGUUUCUUGCAUAUGUCACCGAGUUCCUCACUAGAGGGCCGGGUAUGUAUAUUAUAUAUAUGAUUGGUGAUGAGGAUGGUUAUGAUGAUGAUGAUGACGGAGAUGACGUGAUGAUUAUUUUGCCGAGCCCCUUACUAGGGAAGCUGGGCACCUUAAAUGUUAAAUAUAUGCAUGAUUUUCACUUAAAAGGGUAUAUGUGUAGAGAUAUUUUGUUUCGACUUGCCAUAUUGGUAUCCUGUC
rnacentral:lncRNA from 1 species